AUGAGCAUUUGUGAAGGGCCAGCCAGGCACCAGGCUCUAUGGGAGGUCCUGAGUGGGAGAGAGGACACAAAUGUGGAUGACAGCAUACUUGUAUACACUUAUGCUGAUGAGACCAUGAAUUUCUUCCUCUUUUGUAUUUCCAAGAGGGAUGACCACACAAUUUUGAUACACAUUCAAGUUACAUCAUAAUGGCUGGGACAUACAUGGAUAUCAUCAAGUUGAGAGGGCAAAUUGGAAAAAGUUUUCCUUUCUCCAAGAAGAAGAAGAAAAGGGCAAUUCUGGUAGCUGCUAGCUGGUGGGUCCAGUGCCUUGGGCACAGAGGAAUUAUUGAGGACCAAAAUAUUAUAUUUUGUUAUUUUCUAUAAAUUUUAAUCUUUUGUGAACAAAUCUUAAUGAUUAGCCUAAAAAUGUAAUAACUAUUUAUAAAAACAGUGAAAUAUAUAAUAGAGCAAGGUGUAAGGAAAUGGAGAUAUCUUUCCUUCUUUGCUAUUUUCAAAGUUAAAAUACUUUUAUCAAUAACAAUGCCAUUAUUAGGUGAUACUUAACUCUACAUUUUCUAUAUACUUCCAAGGUAACCAUUAUUCUUUUCUUACUUUCUGUGAUUCUGGCUAUCCAAAACCCUCAUCUCCUUACCUGUCCGUAUACUGAGUAAACUGCUGCGAGCUUUGGGCUAGUGUCACAAAUCUAUAUUGAGAGGUGACUCUGCCUGGCCCAGUACUAGCUUGGGCUUUAAAAGCCCAUAAUGCUUUCUUUUUUGUUUUCUCUCUCUCUCUCUCUCUCUCGCGCUGUCUUGAUAUUAACUGAAAUCAGGUGAUGGUAAAAAGUCCUUUUUUUUUUUUUUUUUUUUUUAAAUUUAGGCUACUGGCACUAAAUUAUCUUAAAUAGUUAUUUCCUUCUCAUACAAGAAAUACUGGUUAAUUUCAGACUAAUCUUAAAACUGUAUUUUCUAUUUUGGUUAAUUGAAUUACCAUCCACCCAGCCACCUCGUCUAGAAAGCUGAGAGUCAUAAUAGACUCUUUUCUCUUCAUUACAACCUUCCUCCCACAUCCAAUCAAUCACCAGCUUCUAUCAAUCUUCCCUCUUAAUUAUUACUGAAAUCCGCCCUCUCCUGUCUCUGGCAUCAGAGCUUUUCUCCAGCCUUUGACAUCUCUAAUCUCCUAUCUAGAUUUGCCACAAUGACCUCUUCCUAAUCAUUCCUUUAGCCUCUACUCUCUUUCCUCUUCUAAUUUAUUCUUCUCCAUUUUCAUACAAAGCUUAGAUUAUCUUUAUCCAAAUUAAAAUUUAAUAACUAAUAAAUCAUGGAGCUGUGAUUUAAACCA
rnacentral:lncRNA from 1 species